rnacentral:misc_RNA from 1 species
AAGACUAUAGACCUGCGGAGUACCUGCGGAAGGAUCAUUACAUGGCGGAGGAGGUGGGCACCUAGUAAAAACAAAACCCUAGGUGUGUUGCCUACCACGCUUUCUACCCUUGUCUAUUUGCACCUUUUGUCGUUCCCUCGGUGGGUCUUGAACCUGCCGGCGGCAACUUUCAAAAACCUUUUGUAGUUAGUAUCUAAUUCUUCUGAUCAAAUAUUCAAUCGUUACAACUUUUAACAACGG